AGUGAACGCUGGCGGUAGGCCUAACACAUGCAAGUCGAACGGCAGCACAGUAAGAGCUUGCUCUUACGGGUGGCGAGUGGCGGACGGGUGAGGAAUACAUCGGAAUCUACUUUUUCGUGGGGGAUAACGUAGGGAAACUUACGCUAAUACCGCAUACGACCUACGGGUGAAGGCAGGGGAUCUUCGGACCUUGCGCGAUUGAAUGAGCCGAUGUCGGAUUAGCUAGUUGGCGGGGUAAAGGCCCACCAAGGCGACGAUCCGUAGCUGGUCUGAGAGGAUGAUCAGCCACACUGGAACUGAGACACGGUCCAGACUCCUACGGGAGGCAGCAGUGGGGAAUAUUGGACAAUGGGCGCAGGCCUGAUCCAGCCAUACCGCGUGGGUGAAGAAGGCCUUCGGGUUGUAAAGCCCUUUUGUUGGGAAAGAAGAGCAGCAGGUUAAUACCCCGCUGUUCUGACGGUACCCAAAGAAUAAGCACCGGCUAACUUCGUG
rnacentral:rRNA from 1 species